rnacentral:lncRNA from 1 species
AUAGCUGUCAAAAUAGCUUAGUCUAUAUGGAACGGCCCGCCAAAUUCGAAUCCAGUUUAUUUAAGAUAUGACAAUAUUGGUUUUUUACACAAUGUAGAGUUUGAGGCAGCUAAGUUUUGUGGAAAAAUUAUUUUCAAUAUCCAAUAAGAUGACAGAUACAUAACAUGAGCAAUAGUUUUUGAAUGAACAAAACAUUACAAUUGACAAAAUGAACAAAAACAUUACAAAAAGUGAAAGAUAAAUUCAGCAACAACAGUGGUAUCACCAUUUGGCUCUUUUUGAAAAAUCAUAACCAUGAUUUGNN